rnacentral:rRNA from 1 species
GUAGGUGGCAAGCGUUGUCCGGAAUUAUUGGGCGUAAAGCGCGCGCAGGCGGUUCUUUGAGUCUGAUGUGAAAGCCCACGGCUCAACCGUGGAGGGUCAUUGGAAACUGGAGAACUUGAGUACAGAAGAGGAAAGCGGAAUUCCACGUGUAGCGGUGAAAUGCGUAGAGAUGUGGAGGAACGCCAGUGGCGAAGGCGGCUUUCUGGUCUGUAACUGACGCUGAGGCGCGAAAGCGUGGGGAGCAAACAGGAUUAGAUACCCUGGUAGUCCACGCCGUAAACGAUGAGUGCUAAGUGUUAGGGGGGUUUUCCGCCCCCCUUAGUGCUGCAGCUAACGCAUUAAGCACUCCGCCUGGGAGUACGGCCGCAAGGCUG